rnacentral:tRNA from 1 species
GCUGUGGCCAAGUGGUAAGGCACUGGAUUUUGAUUCCAGCAUGCGAAGGUUCGAUCCCUUCCAG